rnacentral:rRNA from 1 species
GAACGCUGGCGGCAGGCCUAACACAUGCAAGUCGAGCGGUAACAUUUCUAGCUUGCUAGAAGAUGACGAGCGGCGGACGGGUGAGUAACGCGUAGAAAUCUACCUAGUAGUGGGGGAUAGCCCAGAGAAAUUUGGAUUAAUACCGCAUACGCCCUACGGGGGAAAGCGGGGGAUCUUCGGACCUCGUGCUAUUAGAUGGGCCCGCGUCGGAUUAGCUUGUUGGUGAGGUAAAAGCUCACCAAGGCGACGAUCCGUAGCUGGUCUGAGAGGAUGAUCAGCCACACUGGAACUGAGACACGGUCCAGACUCCUACGGGAGGCAGCAGUGGGGAAUAUUGCACAAUGGGCGCAAGCCUGAUGCAGCCAUGCCGCGUGUGUGAAGAAGGCCUUAGGGUUGUAAAGCACUUUCAGCAGUGAGGAAAGGGGUGUCGUUAAUAGCGCCAUCCUGUGACGUUAACUGCAGAAGAAGGACCGGCUAACUCCGUG